CCUACGGGAGGCUGCAGUGGGGAAUAUUGGACAAUGGGCGAAAGCCUGAUCCAGCCAUGCCGCGUGGGUGAAGAAGGCCUUAGGGUUGUAAAGCCCUUUCACCGGGGACGAUGAUGACGGUACCCGGAGAAGAAGCCCCGGCUAACUCCGUGCCAGCAGCCGCGGUAAUACGGAGGGGGCUAGCGUUGUUCGGAAUUACUGGGCGUAAAGCGCACGUAGGCGGAUGCUUAAGUCAGGGGUGAAAUCCCGGGGCUCAACCCCGGAACUGCCUUUGAUACUGGGUGUCUGGAGGUCGAGAGAGGUGAGUGGAAUUCCGAGUGUAGAGGUGAAAUUCGUAGAUAUUCGGAGGAACACCAGUGGCGAAGGCGGCUCACUGGCUCGAACCUGACGCUGAGGUGCGAAAGCGUGGGGAGCAAACAGGAUUAGAUACCCGGGUAGU
rnacentral:rRNA from 1 species